UACGUAGGUGGCAAGCGUUGUCCGGAUUUACUGGGCGUAAAGAGCGUGUAGGCGGCCUGAUAGGUCGGUUGUGAAAACUGGAGGCUUAACCUUCAGACGUCGGCCGAAACCAUCUGGCUAGAGUCCGGAAGAGGAGAGUGGAAUUCCUGGUGUAGCGGUGAAAUGCGCAGAUAUCAGGAAGAACACCCGUGGCUAAGGCGGCUCUCUGGGACGGUACUGACGCUGAGACGCGAAAGCGUGGGGAGCGAACAGG
rnacentral:rRNA from 1 species